rnacentral:rRNA from 1 species
CCUACGGGAGGCAGCAGUGAGGAAUAUUGGUCAAUGGGCGGAAGCCUGAACCAGCCAAGUCGCGUGAGGGAAUAAGGCCCUACGGGUCGUAAACCUCUUUUGCCGGGGAGCAAGGGCGGGGACGUGUCCCGUCCCGGAGAGUACCCGGAGAAAAAGCAUCGGCUAACUCCGUGCCAGCAGCCGCGGUAAUACGGAGGAUGCGAGCGUUCUCCGGAUUUAUUGGGUUUAAAGGGUGCGUAGGCGGGCUUUUAAGUCAGCGGUAAAAAUUCGGGGCUCAACCCCGUCCGGCCGUUGAAACUGGGGGCCUUGAGUGGGCGAGAGGAAGGCGGAAUGCGUGGUGUAGCGGUGAAAUGCGUAGAUAUCACGCAGAACCCCGAUGGCGAAGGCAGCCUUCCGGAGCCCGACUGACGCUGAGGCACGAAAGUGCGGGGAUCGAACAGGAUUAGAUACCCUUGUAGUC